rnacentral:rRNA from 1 species
GAUGAACGCUGGCGGCGUGCUUAACACAUGCAAGUCGAACGGGAAUUACUUUAUUGAAACUUCGGUCGAUUUAAUUUAAUUCUAGUGGCGGACGGGUGAGUAACGCGUGGGUAACCUGCCUUAUACAGGGGGAUAACAGUCAGAAAUGACUGCUAAUACCGCAUAAGCGCACAGAGCUGCAUGGCUCAGUGUGAAAAACUCCGGUGGUAUAAGAUGGACCCGCGUUGGAUUAGCUGGUUGGUGAGGUAACGGCCCACCAAGGCGACGAUCCAUAGCCGGCCUGAGAGGGUGAACGGCCACAUUGGGACUGAGACACGGCCCAGACUCCUACGGGAGGCAGCAGUGGGGAAUAUUGCACAAUGGGGGAAACCCUGAUGCAGCGACGCCGCGUGAAGGAAGAAGUAUCUCGGUAUGUAAACUUCUAUCAGCAGGGAAGAGCUUGACGGUACCUGACUAAGAAGCCCCGGCUAACUACGUGCCAGCCGCCGCUGUAACAC